rnacentral:rRNA from 1 species
CCUACGGGUGGCUGCAGUCGAGAAUCUUCCGCAAUGGGCGCAAGCCUGACGGAGCGACGCCGCGUGCGGGAUGAAGGCCUUCGGGUUGUAAACCGCUGUCAGUGGGGAGCAAAUGCAUGGGGGUUCUCCCCCAUGCUUGAGCGAUCCGCAGAGGAAGCACAGGCUAAUUCCGUGCCAGCAGCCGCGGUAAUACGGAAUGUGCAAACGUUAUUCGGAAUCACUGGGCUUAAAGAGUCCGUAGGCGGCAUGUUAGGUGAGGUGUGAAAUCCCCCGGCUCAACCGAGGAAUUGCGCUUCAAACCGGCGUGCUAGAGGAAGAUAGAGGUGGGCGGAACUGAUGGUGGAGCGGUGAAAUGCGUUGAUAUCAUCAGGAACACCGGAGGCGAAAGCGGCCCACUGGGUCUUUUCUGACGCUGAGGGACGAAAGCUAGGGGAGCGAAC